rnacentral:lncRNA from 1 species
GGGAAUUGGGGCGCUGAAGGGCACUCAUGAAUAGGGUGGGAUGGGCUAGAACAAAUAGUACACACUUGUGCUUGGGAAGAGUUCAUGUAAUGCCCACCUAUCAUCAGUUGGUCAAUCUUAUGGGACAAUGCAUCUACCUUGCUAGACAGGUCCAUAGAAUGACUUAUUUCACAAAUGGUCCCUUUUCUUUGAGAACUCGGGGGUGCUUGACGAGAACAUGAAGCAUGGUGGAGAGAGUUUUCAUUUAGAUUUUCAAAUAAUUUCCAUGUUUCAUGCUCAUUUUGAAGCAUGAAUGUCCCCCCACAUGCGGCAUCAAUCAUCUGACGGUUUCGUU